AAGUAUUAAUUUAAAAUUUGAUGAAUAGGGAGUUUUGAUUUAAUUGAAAUAACAUUAAUUAUGUAUGUUUUAGUAUAGUAAUAGAACAAAUUUAUUUAUUUAUAGUGGAGUAGUACUGUGAAGGGAAAUUGAAAAAAGUUGAAAAUAAAUUUUUAGAAAAGUAAAUUAAUAUUGUACCUUGUGUAUCAGGGUUUAUUAAAAUUGGAAUAGAGAUUUAUUUUUCCCGAAUUAAAAAGAGCUAAUUUGUUAUGUUGGUUAAUGUGGUACUAUUAUCAAGAAUAGCAAGUUUGUAAUGAAAUAUUAGUCGGUUUUUAAGAUAUCUGGUUCUUCAUGUUAUGAAUUUAAUUCAGUAUUUAAUAGUA
rnacentral:rRNA from 1 species